AGCAGACCCAUUCGCCGCCGCCUAUCCCUGCGCUACCUCCAUCCCUUCGCCGCCGCCCUCCCAUCAAGCCGCCGCCGAUCCUGGAGCUACCUCCAUCCCUUCUGCGCCGCCGAUCCUGGAGCUACCUCCAUCCCUUCGGCGCCGCCAUCCCAUCAAGCCGCCGCCGAUCCUGGAGCCAUCUACCCCUGGAUCCCUUCGCGGGCGCCGAUCCCGUCGAGGAGCCGACGCCGAUCCCCUUCAGGAGCCAUCUGAUAUGAACGCACGGGCACGCCGAUCCCAUUCAGGAGCCGACGCAGGAUGAGGCAAGCCCCCGCGCGUCAAUCGCAGAGAGCCUCGCGAUGCAGGUACUGCUGCUGCCAGUCAGGAUGCAAGAAUCUGCUACCAAUACUGCAAAAGGAAGAUUUCUACAAUAACAAGAAGGAAGUAUUGUAUUUUCUUGCCAUUGCCCGUGAGGGCAAAAUUUGGUAACUGGUGCAUUGUUAAUGUUAUCCAUUAUGCCUUUCAUCACCACAACCCCCCUUCCUCCUAUAAAGUGGCAUCCUAUCUUUUCUCAAAUUCCUCUUCUCAACACAAAAAUCGUUGUCUAAAGGUCUUAUUAUUAUCAUGUUAAACGCUCUUUUUUGUUGACAUGUGUUCCUUCCCUUUUAUCUUGCAUAGGGAAAAUAGGGCCAGAGUAAAAUUUGUCAACUGCACUUUGUGAUGUUGGCGCUUGGGGUCAGAUGGUCCAUCGAUUGUAGGUGUAAAUGUAAUAGACUGAUAAUUGGCGACAGGAGAUACCUGCAUGUAUGCCACAUUGAGUGACCUUCAGAUAAUGCUCACCUUCAGGGAAAGCUUAUCAUAGAAAUAGUAUCCAUGAAGUUUAUUGAAGAGAGCGACUCAUUUUUUAUACUGGAUGGGAACGCUUCCAUCAUAGGCUCCAUCUCAUCCGAUCUUUGAGCCGGUCUAUUUUCAACAUUUAUACGAAGAAGAUCUAGCACCAAAGGUUCACCAUCGGGAUUAACACUGUUUCAGCGAUGAUAUAUCUCCAGCUGCAUUAUUAACGAGCUUUCCAAUGACACCAUAUUGUUUUAGCAACGAGUUUAUCGCCGGCGCACCCCCAGGCCGCUCUUUUUCGACGCCCUGGGGGGCUGAACGGCUGGAGAUGCUCUUAGCGGGCAUGCCCUGGUUGAGGCCCCCAAAAUUCAGAUGACGGCGCUGAGGAGAUCACGUAACCCCAAGGCAGGGCGUAGCGACCGGCGAGGAGCGCCUCAAGGGCGUGGCCCCCGAUUCGUGGAUCGACAGCGUGGAGCCAAUCGUGUGCGGACAGGAUGUGGCGGUGCUGCAGCAAGCGAGGAGCGCCACUACCGUUCGCACAAGAUUCGCCGUCUCGUCUCUGCGAUUUGACCGCCGCCGGCGGUCUGCGCUCCACUGUCCGCAUCCGAACUCGCCAGAGCCGCGGUGCCCCAUGAACCGCCCGCCUCCCCCAUUUCGUUUCCGUUUGAUGGUAGUGACGACGACGACCAAGGUUGUCACUGAGUCGGCCAUGAUUCCAUAUUUUAAGUAUAGUUGGACAGUUGCAACUAUUUUUCUUCAUCACAUCGGAUACUCGGAAAUGUUUUUGCUUGAAGAGAUGAAGUAUGCCUUUUGUUCAGUCCUAUGGAGUUCACAAAUUGAUCUACAGCUACACUAUUUAGAAACUCAAAGGAGCAUCAAGGUCGAAGAAUUUCUUGGAGAUGGCUACAUUCCCUAGAUCACUCGAUCGAUCAAAAAUUUCCCUUACAAAAAUUAUCUUAUCAGUGCCACUGUGUAUUUUGAUUAACAAGCAGGACGGCCCGAGCCAGACGUUUACGCCUACAAUGCCCUCAUGGAGGCUUACAGCCACACAGGGUUUCCACAAGCCGCUAUCAAGAUCUUUGCCCUAAUGCAGCACAUGGGUUGCACCGAGCUUCGUGCAGCAUCUUGGUGGAUGUUUAUGAGAGAGCCUGUCUCCAUGGAGAGGCUGAGGCCGCGUUUGAGCCACUGAAGCAGCUGGGAAUGUUGCUGACCGUGAAGUCACACAUGCUGCGGCACAUACUAGGUCCGGCAAUGUGGCAUGGUGGAAGGAGGUGAUGGCGCCAGUGCAUAAAUUUGGCCUCGCCCAGGAGACCUUCACACUCAAAGUCAUGCUCAACGCCUACGGCGCUUCGGCUGCCUCGACGAGAUCGGCAGCCCUCGCUGCCAUGGACUGCCGAGAGACGUGGAACUAUGAACAUGUAGGGCCAAGCGGGGUACCUGGAGAGCAUGAAGGCGAUGUUUGUGUCACCGGAAGGGAGGGGGAUCACUGUCGAUGUGGUGACGUGGAGGUCCUGCAUGAGCGCACACACACACCAGGACAGAGUACCGGAUGUGCUUGGACAUCGACCUCUAGGUGACAGUCCAUGGUCAAAACCGAGUCGCGGUGUUCACAAUGAUGGGCACUAUUUAUAUCGAAGGACGAGGAGGACGAUUUGGAUGACCGUAACCACAAUGGCAAGGGCAGCAACAUGGUCGUCACCUGCAAUGCCGUUGGGUACUGAGAUUAUGAUGUUUGGUUUAUUUGUUGAAAGUUACAGCCCAUGUUUCAUGAUUUAUUUGCCGCCAGUUAAUCAUGAUAUUUUGAAGUGCUCUGGCAAUUGCUUGCUGUCUGCAUCUCUUACUUUUCAACUUGCUGCAUAUACAGAUAUACACCAUUAGAAUCUGUUUGUACAAUAUAUUUACUUAUUCAACAUGCUUCAGUUAUGCUUCUUUGAAAAUCCAGUUGUAGAUUGAAGUGAAGCCCCAUUUAGAUCUUGGCUAUAGUAUUAUUCUUGUCUUAUGACUGGUGACAGAUUGAUAUAUGAUACCGUGACAUAGCAUAUGUGGUACCGUGGUAGUCACAUUUGGUGGUAGUUCUGAUUGUUUGCUAGAUUACGAGAUAAGACCAAGUGCUUCUGCAACUCGGUUGCGGAUUUGAUAGGAACAUGAAGACUUGUGCCAUGACAUGGAGCAUGUUCGAUUAAAAGGACAUAGUUGCUCCAAUAUAUUGAGCAGGGAAGAAGUUUGUUACAAGUGUUUUAUAGAGUUGACGCAAGAGACAUCCGACGGGAUACAUUGGUGAAGGAAUCGACGAAGAAGCUUCCGUUCAGCAUGGUAUCUCAGUGGAAGAAUAUCCGAAGCAAACCUCCGCUACUUCUCUGUUCCCUUUCAUUUUUCAUGGAAAAUUUGAACAGACCUCGUCCACGCCGAUAGUUUCCAGUUUCAUGUGGCAAUGACAUGUGGAGGACGACGGUCACAAGCGCAUUGUCGCAAGCUCACGGGAGGGAGGCACACAUCUCAUCCAAUGGAAAAGCACGCUCCAAAAAAUCCCUAACCCUCCAUGGAGCCAUUGCUAGGGGACGACGAGAUCAACGCCACCCAUCACGACCACCAAGAUGUAGAAGGGCAUCGUGACUGAGCUGGCGAAGAUGUCAGUGGUGGAAGCGGACAUGUUAUAGAAGAUGUUGAGGGUGGCACCGGAGUUAAUGGCCAAAUGGGGUUCCUCGGCACCGAAGAGAAGGAUGCUGCAGCAACACGUACUGGUUGCAUUUCCCACCAGAGAAGAACUUAUGAAUGGUAUGUGCGCGAUCCAUUCAUUCUUUCGUUUGAUCCUUAUUCUCCUCAACUCAGAUUCAUUUUAUUUUGUACUUAUGCAUGAUUUUGAUGGAUCAAUAAAUUUAGUGGCAUUAAUUGCAAUGAGAAAUAUCAUAUAUCCAUAAACUUCACAUUGUUGUUGCUACGAGUCUGCUGGUCAGCUACUUCCGGUUAUCCUCAUCAAGAGUUGAUAGUCGGAUUUCACCAAGAAAUAAAAACAGAGGAGAACCCACCAGUCUUACUACCGAAUAUGGGUAAUUUCCCUUGUAAUUAUUAUUAGAUUUGUUGUUUCUGAAAUUCAGUCUUCAGAAUUACUAUGGCUAAGUGAAGGUGAUAAAUAAUUCCAGUUUAAGGAGUACUUGUGGACUGUUUAGAUGGAGGAGCACUCUUAGUUUUGUUCUUAGAUUUAAUUCUGAAUCAUUUAGUGUGCAAUUCAGAUUCACGCAGCAUUUUUCUUAAAUUUUGCCUGCCUGGAAAUUAUUAAUGUCAACUUAAUACAUAGCAUGUCCUGAUGUUAAACAUGAUGCAUUUCUUCACUACAGUCUACAUAAUUGGUACAUAUAGCAUGUCUCUGCCGUCAGCAACCCCGUCUUGCUCACUUUUUCAGCGGCAUGGCCUUUUUCCAAUCUUAUGUCAAUUGGUCUUUGCUUUGUGGGCACUAGAAAGGAGACGAUCCUAUCCACUAUCACAAUGAAACAAGGGAAACAAUUCCUUGCAGUCAUCUAUAAGGUUAGCAUGCUGGGGCUUGGUUGAUUCAUUUAUAUUGCUAUUUCUAUGCACACGUAAAAGGAUCUAUGUAUCCACAAUUAAUUUGCUUACCCAUGUGAGUUUGGGGAUAUUUUUUCUCUUGUUAAGAUGCAUGUCAGAUCUAAAUUCUCUGAUAUCUAUGUAUGUAGUGCAGUUUUUAUUAGUUAAAAACCUACUACCAGUCCACGCAUGAAGGUGCACUUAAUUUCUUAGUAUUUCUACGUGCAUUACCUCUCUUGAAUUUACUUAGUAAUAGUAUUUUGUUAUUUGGGUCUGAAGAUACCAAUAUUGCGAAAAGUAAAUAAUUUGGGAGGAGAGUGAAUUGAACUUUAUACUGUUAAGGAUAGUAAACCAAAUUGAUUUUUAUAGAGGCGUGAACAAUCAAACCAAAAAAGGGAGUUGAUUAGUAAGGAGACAUCUAGGAUGUUUCAAAUUCUUUCGAAAAGCUCAAUAUAAAUAUGUGUAGAUGUGUUAAAAUUUGUUCACUGAAUUUCUGGUAAUAUAAUUAGUACUACUCCCUCUGUUUCUAAAUAUAAGUCUUUCUUAGAUAUUCCACUGCGGACUACAUACGAAGCAAAAUGAGUGAAUCUAUACUCUAAAAUAUGUCUAUAUACAUUCGUAUGUAGUUUGUAUUGAAAUCCAUAGAAAGACUUAUAUUUAGAACGGAGGGAGUAUAUGUUAUGGUGGAUAAAAAUUCAUUUAAAUACACUAUGGAAGUGUUUGGUUGCAGAUCGGUAACGCAAACGCAAACGUAAUUGGGUUACACUGUUAACGUAAACGGUAUGGGCAAAAAUCAUACUUUGUUUGGCUACCUACGCUGUAACAUUAAUGAAUACCAGAGUUGGGCAAGUACCAGCCGAGGGUGAACCGCUGGCUGGAAGCAGAUCCAAGCUGUGCAUGGCGGGCGAGGAAGGAGGCGGCAUCGUUCGUGUCUUGGGAGCGAGGGCCUGACAGCGAGGCUAACACAAUGACAGCAGCGGCGGCUGCAGCGACGGCGCCAGCGGCGGACGCAACGACGGCGACCGGAGCGGCGGCGGAUGCAACGACGGCGAUGGUGGCGGCUGCAGCGACGGCGCCGGCGGCGGACGCAACGACGGCGAUGGUGGCGGCUGUUUGCAGCGGCGCCAGCGACGGACGCAACGACGGCGACGCCAGCGACGGACGCAACGACGGCGACGGUGGCGGCUGUUUGCGGCGGCGAUGUGGACAGCUGGUGGCGGCAGAAACGCUUUAAGCAGAAGAGAUAGCGAGGAGGGAGACACCGCAGCGGCUUUCAUUGCGGAUAAUUUCGACCGGUAACAAAUUUGAACUAGGCUGGGAUCUAAUACCGCGUUAUGUGAUUACGGAGCAAUCAAAACAAACAUGAUUUGACGGGAUCCGUUGACGCUGUAAUCAGGUUACGAUACAAAAGCACGAACCAAACACCUCCUAUAUAUACUGUGUACUAAAUGGUGGAAUCGUUGGCCGCCUGCCGACCUCGACUGACGUAGAGAGGGAGAACGCCCUAGAUGGGAUGCUCACGCAUUUGCGCCUCACCAACGUUCACUGCCUCGCAUGCUUCCUAGGCCGAACUGAGAUGCCGUCUCGAGCCGCUGCGUUCUUGAAAAAAAAUUCUCAGAUGCCAUUGUUUCAUUCACCUGAUUCUGAUUGUUUUGCAGACUAAAAUCAUGUUUUGAAAUUAUAUUCAUCAAGUGAGAGACACUUCCAAUGUGCUAAGGUGCGCAGCUCAUCAUAGGAUUAUCACAUCUAGAAUUCUGGUUCUUAGAGCUUUGGUUUCUAUAACCCUUAUUUGCUUGUCUUGUCUUUUGUUUUACGGGUUUCAAGCUUCAGCACAAAUCUUCUGUAGGAAAUCUUGUACUCAAAGUGUAGAAAAAUGCCGUUUUUGUGAAAUGUCACAGGAGCUACAUUACUAACAUUGUUGUAAUGUUUGUAUGGCAGCCUAUUCUUUAAUCCGUUCAAUUACAGAGUUUAUGAUUAUGUAAAUGGAGUAUGAGAUCUGAGAAGAAAAAAAAGUUGCAUCUGAUUCAAGGAAGAUAAUGGACAAGUACAUUGGUAUGAACAGGUCGUCGAUUUUGAUAGAAAAUGCUACAGAAUACACAUCAACUAUUAUGCUACAGAAUACACAUAAUUAGUUAUAGAUCAGUAGGCUACUCAUCUGGUUAGUUUUCUCAAGUCAUUUCUUCUCUGUGUAUAUAUGUUAUUUUCCUUUUUACACUA